UUUCCGUAGGUGAACCUGCGGAAGGAUCAUUAAAGUUAUAGUCCCCCGGCCCUCUGGGCUGGGGUCUUCUAUACCACCCUUUGUUUAUUACACCUUUGUUGCUUUGGCAGGCCUGCCCUCGGGCUGCUGGCUCCGGCCGGCUCGCGUCUGCCAGAGGAUCUAAACUCUGUUUGUAUAUGAAGUCUGAGUACUAUAUAAUAGUUAAAACUUUCAACAACGGAUCUCUUGGUUCUG
rnacentral:misc_RNA from 1 species